UUUUGAAACGUCACUGCUUUCUCAAAUCAUCCUUAUAGAAGCUUAAAUUACAUGAGGUGACAUUUGAGCCAAAACCAGAGAAGCAGACAUCAACCCAAGACUUAGAGGAGAGUUCCUUCAGUGUGAAGGUCAGUGGAGCUGGUGAAUUAAAAGAAAAAAAGAAUGUGAUCUUUUAAAAACAGCAUUUUUGCAGAUGAUCAAAUCAAGAUGGAACAUUUGAGGUAGGAAGUAAUGUAACAUGACUGAUGUCCUUGUUAAACUGACUGAGCACAGAGGCCAUCGUUGUGACAGAACUGGCCUAUGUAGCAAGAAUGUGAACACUGGAAUUAGUUAGUUCCAACAUGCAACUACAUGCCCCUAAGGAAAGAAGAUGGCAGCUCCUUUCUCCACGGUGCUUCCUGGAAGAGGAUGUUUGGCUGAUGUGGAUAUUUUGAACUUCCUGCCUGCAGAAUCUUGAGACAAUAAAUUUCUUGUGUUUUG
rnacentral:lncRNA from 1 species